GCAUAUCAAUAAGCGGAGGAAAAGAAACCAACCGGGAUUGCCUUAGUAACGGCGAGUGAAGCGGCAAAAGCUCAAAUUUGAAAUCUGGUACCUUCGGUGCCCGAGUUGUAAUUUGGAGAGGGCAACUUUGGGGCCGUUCCUUGUCUAUGUUCCUUGGAACAGGACGUCAUAGAGGGUGAGAAUCCCGUGUGGCGAGGAGUGCGGUUCUUUGUAAAGUGCCUUCGAAGAGUCGAGUUGUUUGGGAAUGCAGCUCUAAGUGGGUGGUAAAUUCCAUCUAAAGCUAAAUAUUGGCGAGAGACCGAUAGCGAACAAGUACAGUGAUGGAAAGAUGAAAAGAACUUUGAGAAGAGAGUGAAAAAGUACGUGAAAUUGUUGAAAGGGAAGGGCAUUUGAUCAGACAUGGUGUUUUGUGCCCUCUGCUCCUUGUGGGUAGGGGAAUCUCGCAUUUCACUGGGCCAGCAUCAGUUUUGGUGGCAGGAUAAAUCCAUAGGAAUGUAGCUUGCCUCGGUAAGUAUUAUAGCCUGUGGGAAUACUGCCAGCUGGGACUGAGGACUGCGACGUAAGUCAAGGAUGCUGGCAUAAUGGUUAUAUGCCGCCCGUCUUGAAACACGGACC
rnacentral:rRNA from 1 species